AGUUUUAUAUUCUAAAAAAGAUUUUAAAUUGCAAGUUUAAAGAAAUAUUAUUGUUGAAAUAAAAAUAUUAAAACUU
rnacentral:tRNA from 1 species